UUUGGGAUUUUUUUUGAAACCAGGGGUAUUUUGGGAAUUUUCUUGAAAAAUUAGGUUAUUUUUGUAAAAAAACCAUUUUAAUAAAGGUGAUUAUAACUUUCUUGAUUUGGUCAAAAUAAAGUUUUAAUUAUUUUUUGAACAUUAAAGUAAAAAAACAAACUAUUUUUUUAACUAAAUCAUAAAAUAAUUUAAUUAAUAUUAAUAUAGAUAAAAACUAAAAUGGAU
rnacentral:lncRNA from 1 species